rnacentral:lncRNA from 10 species
GAACUAUGAAGAUACGGAAGGAGUCAGUUACCUAUGGGGGCAAAAGCUAAAAGGGGUAAUAGAGAUAGCAAUAAGGGAGCCAAAGCUGUGAGGAAAGUCCUUGGCAGAGAGAUGAGAAAGAACUAGAUUGGGGAGGACGCACAAAGAAACAGAGCGAAAGGGAAACUGAGAAGCUGUGCAGUCGAUGGGUGCCCACCUGGACUGGAUUUAAGUCAGAAGAGAAGGAAGAUGUGAGUAUUCAUUAAACGUCUCUGCGAAGCCUGUAACCCCACACCGGCUCUUCGAAGAAGCAUUAUCUCUGUUUUACGGAUGAGAAAACUGAGGUUUGAUAACUUG